rnacentral:rRNA from 1 species
GAUGAACGCUGGCGGCGUGCCUAAUACAUGCAAGUCGAGCGAACAGACGAGGAGCUUGCUCCUCUGACGUUAGCGGCGGACGGGUGAGUAACACGUGGAUAACCUACCUAUAUGACUGGGAUAACUUCGGGAAACCGGAGCUGAUACCGGAUAAUAUAUUGAACCGCAUGGUUCAAUAGUGAAUGACGGUUUUGCUGUCACUUAUAGAUGGAUCCGCGCCGCAUUAGCUAGUUGGUAAGGUAACGGCUUACCAAGGCAACGAUGCGUAGCCGACCUGAGAGGGUGAUCGGCCACACUGGAACUGAGACACGGUCCAGACUCCUACGGGAGGCAGCAGUAGGGAAUCUUCCGCAAUGGGCGAAAGCCUGACGGAGCAACGCCGCGUGAGUGAAGAAGGUCUUCGGAUCGUAAAACCCUGUUAUUAGGGAAGAACAAAUGUGUAAGUAACUAUGCACGUCCUGACGGUACCUAAUCAGAAAGCCCCGGCUAACUACGUG